rnacentral:rRNA from 1 species
ACGGGUGAGUAACACGUGGGUAACCUGCCUUAUGGAGGGGGAUAACAGAGAGAAAUCACUGCUAAUACCGCAUAAGCACACAGUACCGCAUGGUACAGGGUGAAAAGAUUUAUCACCAUAAGAUGGACCCGCGUCUGAUUAGCCAGUUGGCAGGGUAAAAGCCUACCAAAGCAACGAUCAGUAGCCGAUCUGAGAGGAUGACCGGCCACAUUGGGACUGAGACACGGCCCAAACUCCUACGGGAGGCAGCAGUGGGGAAUAUUGCACAAUGGGGGAAACCCUGAUGCAGCGACGCCGCGUGAGUGAAGAUGUAUUUCGGUAUGUAAAGCUCUAUCAGCAGGGAAGAAAAUGACGGUACCUGACUAAGAAGCCCCGGCUAACUACGUGCCAGCAGCCGCGGUAAUACGUAGGGGGCAAGCGUUAUCCGGAUUUACUGGGUGUAAAGGGAGCGCAGACGGCAAUGCAAGUCUGAAGUGAAAGGCGUGGGCUCAACCCAUGAACUGCUUUGGAAACUGUAUAGCUUGAGUGUCGGAGGGGUAAGCGGAAUUCCUAGUGUAGCGGUGAAAUGCGUAGAUAUUAGGAGGAACACCGGAGGCGAAGGCGGCUUACUGGACGACAACUGACGUUGAGGCUCGAAGGCGUGGGGAGCAAACAGGAUUAGAUACCCUGGUAGUCCACGCAGUAAAC